AGAGUUUGAUCAUGGCUCAGGAUGAACGCUAGCGAUAGGCCUAACACAUGCAAGUCGAGGGGCAUCACAAAGAGUAGCAAUACUUUUGGUGGCGACCGGCGGAUGGGUGAGUAACACGUAUGCAACCUACCUUCUACAUUGGGAUAACCCGUUGAAAGACGGACUAAUACCGAAUAAUACAGGGGCGCCACAUGGUGAUAUUUGUUAAAGUUUCGAGCAAUCGAUUCGGUAGAAGAUGGGCAUGCGUAUGAUUAGCUAGUUGGUGAGGUAACGGCUCACCAAGGCAACGAUCAUUAGGGGUUCUGAGAGGAAGGUCCCCCACACUGGUACUGAGACACGGACCAGACUCCUACGGGAGGCAGCAGUGAGGAAUAUUGGUCAAUGGGCGCGAGCCUGAACCAGCCAAGUCGCGUGAAGGAAGACUGUCCUAUGGAUUGUAAACUUCUUUUGUACAGGAAUAAAGUGUUCUACGUGUAGGAUUUUGCAUGUACUGUACGAAUAAGGAUCGGCUAACUCCGUGCCAGCAGCCGCGGUAAUACGGAGGAUCCGAGCGUUAUCCGGAUUUAUUGGGUUUAAAGGGUGCGUAGGUGGACUGAUAAGUCAGUGGUGAAAGUUUGCAGCUUAACUGUAAAAUUGCCGUUGAAACUGUUGGUCCUGAGUGCAAAUGAGGUAGGCGGAAUGUGUUGUGUAGCGGUGAAAUGCUUAGAUAUAACACAGAACACCGAUUGCGAAGGCAGCUUACUGGGAUGCAACUGACACUGAUGCACGAAGGCGUGGGGAUCAAACAGGAUUAGAUACCCCGGUAGU
rnacentral:rRNA from 1 species